CUGUACUUGGCACUGGUGAGACUGCACCUUGAGUACUGUGUUCAGUUUUGGGCCACUCAGUACAAGAAAGACAUUGAGGCCCUGGAGUGUUUCCAGAGAAGGGCAACAAAACUGUGAGGGGUCUGGAGCACAAGUCUGAUGGGGAGCAGCUGAGAGAGCUGGGAUUGUUCAGUCUGGAGAAGAGGAGGCUCAGGAGAGACCUUAAUGCUUUCUACAGCGGCCUGAAAGGAGGUUGCAGCAAGGUGGAGGUUGGCCUCUUCUACCAGGUAACAGUGAUAGGACUAGAGGUAAUGGCCUUAAGUUGCUUCAGGAGAGGUUCAGGUUGGAUAUGAGGAAACAUUUCUUCUCAGAAGGAGGGGUGAGGCAAUGGCACAGGCUGCCCAGGGAGGUGGUGGGGUCAUCAUCCCUGGAGGUGCUCUGUGGAUGUGGCACUGAGGGAUGUGGUCAGUGGGCAUGAUGGAGAUGGGCUGGUGGUUGGACUAGGUGAUGUGAUGGACCUUUUCCAACCUUAAUGAUUCUAUGACUCUGUAACAGCGUCCAAGCUUCCAAUAGCAAAUCCAGAUAAGAGUGUGUUGAUGCCUGCCCCUGUCCCUGACCUUGCCUGUCCUUCCCUGCAGCCUGUGACGUGCUGCUGUUCCCACGCUGUAUCCUGAGACAAGUCUUCACCACUGGUAGCAGUGCUGGUAGCACUGGAUGGAGAUGCUGCUCACAGCGAGAAACACUGCUUUCUUCUUGGCUCCAAGCUGGCCACCAGCCCUCCCAGGGCUUUAGGGAACUUAAUACAGACUCGCUUAUCCUGAGCGGAGCGCUGUGGAAAGGCCCCCCUGCUCCAUCAGCCGUUCAUCUGUCUGCAAUUGAGAUCUCCCUGGAGAAGGAUCACAGGAGAUGACCCUUGACCUCUGGAAAUAUGUGCUGACCACAACUACACAGCCUGGGCUCCUCUUUGCUUCUGAAGGGAAAUUCAGCAGUGCUUCCUCAGCCUGGCUGUCCUGGUUUCUCCGAGGAACUUCAGACAGGAGCCUGGAAGGGCUGGACAGAGAGUCCCGAUGGAAAUGCGCCGAAUAGAGUGGACCAGGGAAAAAGUAAAAAACUGUUGAUUUAAUAAAAGUAGAUAAAGAAGGGCA
rnacentral:lncRNA from 1 species